rnacentral:rRNA from 1 species
ACGGGAGGCAGCAGUGGGGAAUAUUGCACAAUGGGGGAAACCCUGAUGCAGCGACGCCGCGUGAGUGAAGAAGUAUUUCGGUAUGUAAAGCUCUAUCAGCAGGGAAGAAAAUGACGGUACCUGACUAAGAAGCACCGGCUAAAUACGUGCCAGCAGCCGCGGUAAUACGUAUGGUGCAAGCGUUAUUCGGAUUUACUGGGUGUAAAGGGAGCGUAGACGGCAUGGCAAGUCUGAAGUGAAAUGCGGGGGCUCAACCCCUGAACUGCUUUGGAAACUGUCAAGCUAGAGUGUCGGAGAGGUAAGUGGAAUUCCUAGUGUAGCGGUGAAAUGCGUAGAUAUUAGGAGGAACACCAGUGGCGAAGGCGGCUUACUGGACGAUAACUGACGUUGAGGCUCGAAAGCGUGGGGAGCAAACAGGAUUAGAUACCCUGGUA